GCUUAAUUAGUUUAAUAAAAAUAAUGGGUUGUGGUUCCAAGGAUGAAGAGUCAUUGAGCA
rnacentral:tRNA from 1 species